CAGGUCCUUUGUUCCAAGAAUGACAGAAUUCACUGAAUAUGAGAUCAGCAGGGUGAAGAAUGGGGUGAGGGUAUUGCUCAGGUGGUAUUACACGAACACAGCCACUGGGGCCAUGUAGAUCUGGCCACAGGUUGAAGGGAGUCCAGGGCUGGGCUUUCAUCUUGUAACAAGAUUAAUUCAGUAGAAUUCAACUUCCAGAGAAAAAUGGACCAUUUAUUGUUUUAGAUUCAGGCUUAGGCACAGCAGGUGGAUUUUCAAAAUUGCCUCAUCUGACAUUUCCUAGAAAUAAGCACAUGUUCCUGCUCUGUUGGGCAGAUCCAGCAAGAAAAUCAACUUUGCCAACAGUAAUACCAUAUUCCAG